rnacentral:rRNA from 1 species
UACGUAGGGUGCGAGCGUUAAUCGGAAUUACUGGGCGUACAGCGCGCGCAGGCGGUUGCUGACGUGCCGUGUGACAAGCGGGGGCUCAACCCCCGAGGGCCACGGUAAACGGGGCGACUGGAGGUAGGGAGAGGGAUGUGGAAUGCCCGGUGGAGCGGUGAAAUGCGUAGAGAUCGGGAGGAACACCAGUGGCGAAGGCGGCUACCUGGACCAGCACUGACACUGAGGCACGAAAGCAUGGGGAGCAAACGGG